AUGAUGAUGAUUACUUUGACGACUUUGAUGACGGUGAUGAGGGAGAUGAAGGUGGACUAUUUAGGCGGCGCCUUGUUCUUGAAGAGCUGUUUGACCGGAAAUUUGUGGAUGCGGUUUUAAAUGAGUGGCAGAAGACAAUGAUGGAUUUGCCUGCUGGGCUCCGUCAAGCUUAUGAAAUGGGUUUGGUCAGCUCGGCUCAAAUGGUAAAAUUCCUAGCAAUCAAUGCCAGACCAACCACUGCUAGGUUUAUAUCUCGAACACUUCCCCAAGGAAUGUCUAGGGCAUUUAUUGGCAGGUA